rnacentral:lncRNA from 1 species
UAUUUCCUCAUACUUUACUUUCAAGUCGGCGACUUCGCCAAUACUUUUCUUCUUUCACGAGUUCGUACGGGUUGCCAGGGCUGCAUCGACACGAUCUACGGCCUAUUCUGUAAGUUCCGUUUAUCGAGUAAUAUCUAAGCUUUAACUUCGGGCGCAUCACUGUCGUUUCGUUUAGAUUUAUUCACCAAUUAUCGAUAUUUACUAGAAUUCUAGAUUUUACCUGUUGUUCUAGUUUUAUCACCAGUUAUCCAGCUUGAGAUUAGAACUUUCGGCUUGAUUAUCAUUAUUUUCAUC